ACUGGUGCUGAUUGAAAGGAACAAACCUCAGAAAUCAAAUAGACCCCAGAUGAUGGAAAUCUUUGGGAAUCUUUCUUUUGUUCAACUUUUCAUCCUAGUUAAAGAUGAAGAGAUUGUAGGUCAUGCAUCCAACAAGAUAUCACAAAUGAGAAAAUUCUUCUUGAGCUUAACCAUAUUAAUAGAUUUCAAUGUGGAAAUGGUGGAGAAUCUGUGAACAGAAGCUUAAUCAGACAUUUAAAGUUGACGCAGGAUUAUGAACAGUGGAAGAGGACAAGGAAGCUGUCAUUAUCCAGUUUACUGUUAUUUGUCUUCACAGAGCAUAGCAGAGAUCUUUAGGCAAAACAUGAUUGGUGAAGACACCACACACUUUGUCACAGGACUUGUAGAAACCAAGCAGCCACUGGAAGCUCUCUCCCUGAUGGCCAGCUUUCUUGUUGCCAUAAAUUGUUAGUCUGACUGUGUAGAGAUGAAGAAUCCUACCCAGUGUUUGGAGUCAAGCAGUAGAAUAACCAUAAAGGUACUUGACAAUGAUAUCAUAGUCAUCUUGCAUCACAUUGGGCAUAGCUUGUACCUGGUCAUGUGGACGAGACAACAUAAUAAACUCAGUAUUAAUCACAA